CUUUUUGAGAGUUUGAUCCUGGCUCAGGAUGAACGCUGGCGGCGUGUCUAAGGCAUGCAAGUCGAAUGCCGGGUGUCGGAUUUCGGACUUCAGAUGUCAGAUGUCAGAUUAUUAUAAAAUAAUCAGAUGUCCGAUAUCUGAAAUCUGAAAUCCGAUAUCCGGCAUGGCAAACGGGAGAGUAACACAUUGGUAAUCUGCCUUGAGGCCGUGAAUAAGCUUGCGAAAGCGAGUCUAAUACACGAUGGCAGCGGGGGGUCAAAAGACAUUCCCGCUUAAAGUUUUAAUGCCUCAAGAGGAGCCUAUGUCCUAUCAGCUUGUUGGUGAGGUAAAAGCUCACCAAGGCAAUGACGGGUAGCGGGUGUGAGAGCAUGACCCGUCUCACUGGGACUGAGAUACUGCCCAGACUCCUACG
rnacentral:rRNA from 1 species